CUGGUCUCAAACUCCUGACCUCAUGAUCUGCCUGCCUUGGCCUCCCAAAGUGCUGGGAUUAUAGGCAUGAGCCACUGUGCCAGGUCUGAGAUUUUUAAAAAACAGUUUUUACAAUAGAAGUUAGAUCCUCUCCCUGGUCUCUGCACUGCAGGUAACUUGGAUAAAAAUUCUGCUUUCAUGAAUCAUGCACACUGCCUUGUUCUCUGGAACCUGAUCUGUCACAACUGACAGACCGAGAUUCCCUGAUGCCAGUGGUGGUAGGAAAGACGAUGACACUCCCUGCUGCAGAACGACUGAGAACAGAUCCUGAUCCAUAAUGUCAUAAUGGCCUCUGGAUUGUUUUCCCAGGAGGAAACAGAAUUUUCUAAAUAGGGAUGUGGGAACAGAGUAUUAUUACCAUAGUCAUCCUAACAUACAGAAGAAGCCCUUAGUUAAGUGAUUUCAUACAGUGAUUUCAUACCCAUCCACGACUGCAAAAGAGACCAUUCUUUGUUUGGGUCAAAGAGCAUGAACCUGGUUUAGAAUUUAUAGUGUACAUAUCUGUGCUACUACACAUCAAAUAGAUGGACUCGUACAGCCUUUCUCACAUUGAAUGUCCUCUUUUUGGUGUUGCUGUUUACUGAUAUCUGUGGAUGUCUCUAAAUAGUCUUAGAAGUUUCCAUUAAAAGAAGUUAGAGAUACUGUAGUUUUCAAAUCAUUGAAUAAUCACUUACUAGUUAAAAGUCACUGACUAGACAGAAUGGAACAUUUUACCUGCACAAAGAUAGUAUAAAGAGUGUGGACUCUUGCCAUUGGAAUCUGUAUAGGUCAUCUGUCCUAAAAUCUCUUCUUUACUGGAAGGUGGUAUGGUGUAUUACACAGAGCUUGAGCAUUGCAAUUAGAAGACAUGGCUUUAAAUCCCAGCUCCACCAUGUUUUGAAUGUUAGGCAAAUUAAUCGUUUUAUUCAUUCACUAGGCAGCUAUUUAUAGUUUGCAUAUUUUGUGCUUUUAGACUCUUGGGAUACAAAGAUAAAUAAGAAAAACAGUUUCUGUACUCAGAUGGUUCUCGUAAGGGAGGAGACAGACAUAUAAACAGAUAAUUGUAAUUAUAAUGUGGUCUGACAAAGGUAAUGACAGAUUCCCAGGGCAUUAGGGAAGCACAGAAGAGAAAGCCUUUUCUGAAUUUCAGUUCUUCAUAUGUAAAAUGGAGGCAGAAAUAUCUGUUUGACUCAGUUGCUCUGCAGAUGAAAUUAGAAAAAGAAUAUAAAACACAUAGCAGAGAUUUGUCACAAGUAGAAGUAUCAUGUGGAAAGGCAUAUUAUUUUACUGCUUUGUAAUAUAUUGUGGCUGUUUAGUUAUAUUAGUUUACUAAUGACGGAGAAUUACUCAAUAGUAUUUGAGGUAUUUGGAAAUACCCAUGGCAGAACUAUAUUUAGUCCUCUCUUGAUUUCUGACAAUAGUGAGCUUUCUUCAGAAAUAGUAUUUUCUCAAUAUCUUGCCUGAGAGUUUCCCUUAGUUGGAGUCUUAGAUAAAUAUUCUAUUGUCAGAAGAGCUAAUAGAAGUUAUUCAGAGUCCUCCUGAGCUAGUUGAUUCAGUAAGUUUUUAAGUAAACUGUGUUAAGAGUCAUGUGGUAAGAAGGGGAAGAUCCAAAAUAAGGAGGUUUCUAAGCUACACAUAAUUAGGUUGGGAAGGGAUGGGGAGUUUGGUGAUUUGCAGGACGUGCUUUUGUUUUCGUUGAGUUCAUUUCUUGAAGUGAGGUAUAUAUAUAUUUUUUGAAGUCUUAAGUUAGGGACUAACAACCUGUAAGAUGUCAAGACUCAGUAUCCAAGUACCUCUUUUGAAAAAUAGUUGUAUAAUAUUUUAAAAGAAAUAGAAGCAACUCUGCAAAGACAAAAUCCCUGACUGCGUGGUCCUAAUAAAAGCUACUUUGCUUGCCUUUUUCCCCCUUGAGGUUCUUCCAUAGUAGUUAAUAGUUAAAUAGACUUUUUAAAUGUUGCUGGGAAAAAUAAUUUAUUUUAACAUCAAAUUGUUGAGAAAUCUUUAGGGUUGCCUAUGAGCAGUAGUUGGAAGUGGUCUCAUAUUCACAAUAAGACAAUGGACAGACUACUCCUUCUUGAAUACAUUAAUAGUUAAAGGUACAUUCUCUGCAUUGAUAGAGCUGUGAUGAAUACAAAGGAGUAUAGUGCUGAAUGUGAGCACCAGUGAUAUGUUUGUGUCAUAUAACAUUUCUGUGCUUAGUGAACUUUAGAAUGCCAAGUAACUGCUCAUUUACCACUAACUUUCAGUAAUUCAAGAGUACUUGCAAAUUUUAGGGUACAUUGAUCCCCCCUGCCCCCCGCCAUCCUUCUGCUCAAGUAGCUUUGCUAUUUUUCUUUUCUUUUUUUUUUGAGACAGUCUCCCUCUGUCACUCAGACUGGGGUGCGGUGGUAUGAUCUCGGCUCACU